rnacentral:rRNA from 1 species
GAUGAACGCUGGCGGCGUGCCUAAUACAUGCAAGUCGAGCGAACAGAUGAGGAGCUUGCUCCUCUGACGUUAGCGGCGGACGGGUGAGUAACACGUGGAUAACCUACCUAUAAGACUGGGAUAACUUCGGGAAACCGGAGCUAAUACCGGAUAAUAUAUUGAACCGCAUGGUUCAAUAGUGAAAGACGGUUUUGCUGUCACUUAUAGAUGGAUCCGCGCCGCAUUAGCUAGUUGGUAAGGUAACGGCUUACCAAGGCAACGAUGCGUAGCCGACCUGAGAGGGGGAUCGGCCACCCUGGAACUGAGACACGGUCCAGACUCCUACGGGAGGCAGCAGUAGGGAAUCUUCCGCAAUGGGCGAAAGCCUGACGGAGCAACGCCGCGUGAGUGAUGAAGGUCUUCGGAUCGUAAAACUCUGUUAUUAGGGAAGAACAAAUGUGUAAGUAACUAUGCCCGUCUUGACGGUACCUAAUCAGAAAGCCACGGCUAACUACGUG